UUUUUUUUUUUUUUUUUUUUUUCCGCAACUGCGUACCGUCUGUUUUUUAACGAAAAUAACCAGAAGAGCUAAGUUAAGAAGAACAAGCACAAUAUAUCGUAUUAUAAUGUAUCUG
rnacentral:ribozyme from 14 species